ensembl:lncRNA
CUGAUUAUGUUUCACUAGUUUUUCGGUCCGUUUUUGAGUUUUACAUGAGUGUGUAUUGCGUUUGUUAGAGUGACAGCUGGAGCUCUAGAGUGUAGCGCAGCGGCAGAAUGUAGUUAAAAAAAUGUGGAACUUCUGUCCUUCCAACCGAAGUAUACACUUUUGAGGCUUCAUUUCUUUGGAUUAAUGAUGGCAUGGUUGUGCUGAUUGUGGCUAUGGAAUCCCAAAGUUCUUUAGUUUUUGCCUAGGGAGCCCGAGCGUGAGACAACCGCAGUCUCACGCUCCAUUGGCUCCAAUACAAAUCUGCCGACAUAUUUCUCAAGAAAACCAGAAGGUCUCCAAUUGAAAAUCAACAUGGCACAGAUUCCUGCCCUCUUCCACCCUGGCACCAGGCUUGUCCUUUUUAUUUUUGGCAGGAACAGACUGGCUACUGUAGGCUGCAAAAGAUCACAACAGUGACUGCCACGGCUGACAGAAAACCGCCAACCAAGUGCCAAUUCAAAAACCAGAAGAUGACACAACGUUUUUCAAGUCUAUGAACUGCUUCAACAUUCAGGAAGAUAUUGUAAAGACAUGUAUAUUGCACAGACAAAACCGGAUAAUAUAUAAGCUCCUUUUGCAUCCAUUGAGACACCAAAUGAAUAGCGCUGGUUAAGAUAGAUUUAUUUUUCCAUUGAUUCCGUUUCUCAACAGCAUGCAUUAGUUCUCUUGAGGUGGUUUUAAAUAGAUGUAUUUAAUAGAAAGAGGAUUGUGAAGUGUUGGAGGGAUGUCACUUGUGCAGAAUUGGAUUUGUUGAAGCAAAAGAUGAAGGACGUGUGUGAUGAAAGCAAUACCGCCAUAUUAGAAAAAAGCCACUGUACUCAAGGUUCUUUUUCACGCUCAGAAAUCAACAUAUGUGUACAUGACUGUUUUUUUUCUUCUUCUUGAGUUAGUCUCAGUUGACUCAAGAACGAAACCCGUCCCCUUUUGUUUUGUGCAUCAUUUUAUCUUUUUUCAAAAGUGCCUCCUAAUAAAACGCUUGGCCGCUUCACCUUACGUCAAAUGAGUUAAAACCUAUUUUAAAAAAGUUGAAGAAAUGGUGCGCCACCUGUGUAUGAUUUUAUUUAAUAUCCAGUACACAGGAAAUCAUUAUCAUUUGCUCUACCAAUAACCCCCGUAGUAUAAGGCGCACACAUAUUUGUGUUUGAUAUCCUGAUACAAGUUGUACUCUGAUAUUUUAGCAGCCUCUUUUACUUGUCUGUGUUAUGGAAAUGUUAUGCAUGCUUUAGUGUACUUUCGUUUUGGUUUCCUUGUUUGGCUGAAUGUUUCUGGGAUUUUGUUGGAGAACGAGUGUUUGUGUAUACAGCGUGUGUGCCCAUUUAAUUUUAAAUGUUGCUCUUUUCCCUAAACUGCAAUCUCACAAUUCUGCUCAUUGAACUAUUGUAAUUUUGCCUAAUGUACAAGGAGAUGAAAUACUGGUGUAUAUUUUUGAUGCCAACAAAAGUCGUCUCCUGUAGUGAGUUCUUCUAAAAUAUGACUUUUUUUUCCAAUAUUUCCUGGUGUGUUUAAUUCACGUGUGUUGCAUAUUGGCCAUGACAAAAACAACCUUUCACUUACACUAUUU